rnacentral:lncRNA from 1 species
GUGGACCUGAUUUACAGAUAGAAGGAUGCUUUUGAAUUCAUGUUAUUGUGUUUGACAGCUUCUAGCUUCCCUGGGCAUUAGUAAUAGAAAGCCAUUGACAAGAGACAUUCAACAGCAAAACAGUAAGCUGGCCAAUAAAGUAGACAUAAUUGCACUAAAUCUUUUUUUUUUUUUUUUUUUUUUUUUUUUCAGAUCAAGAAUCUUUCCUGAGGAUGGGCUUUCAGCUCCUGAAGAUGGUGAGCAGGAAUGGGACAUAAUGAAUGAAAUCAGGGAGGUGCACAAAAUUGACUGCAGAUGUCACAUAAAUUUACAAGAAGGACAAGAAGGAGCAUUGGGGGAAGCACAAGCCUCUCAGCUUCACCUUAAUCUCUGGGAAGGCUAUGGAGUGCAUCCUCCUUAAGUCUCCUCUUCUUCAUGUGUUUCCAGGCCCGUACUGAACUGUUCAAGACGGGGAAGAGCCAGCAUGGAUAUUAAAAGAGCAAACCAAGCAUGGUUGACCUGAUUGCUUUCUGUGGUGAAUCAAGUGGACAUGUAGACAAGGAAAAAGCAGUGGAUGAUUUUUACAUUGGUUUUAGCAAGGUCUGUGAUAGAGUCCCCAAGAAAUGCUUCCCACCAAACCAGUGAAUAUUGACAGGAUAAGGGCAUGAUAAGGUGCCUGGAAAAUGGACUGGAAAACUGAACUCAAAGGGUGGUGAUCCGUGAUACAAAGUGCAGCCAGUGGCAGCCCUCAGGUAUCAGUACGGAUGAUCUUUAUUAGUGGUGAUAGGACAAAGCACUCUCACAGCAAGUUUGUAGACAAUGUCACACUCAGAUAUGCCCAGAUAUUCUGCAGGGACCUCAAGAACAUCAAGAGACCUCAACAGGACUGAGAAAUGGGUUAAGAGAACCCUCAUAACCCAGGGUAAAUGCCUCAAGUUUAGAUAACCUCAUGUAUUAGUACAGGCCCCAGGGCAAAUGGCUGGAAAACAGUUGUGCAGAAAAAGCCUCGAGAAUCGUUAUGCACUAUGAGGUGACCAAGUGUCUGAAGUAUGCCCUUGCAGUAGCAAGUCAAGCACUCUUUUGGUUGUAUUAAGAGCUGUGUAGCCAAUAGUUCAAGGGGAGGGACUCUUCCUCUCCAUUUGGCCCUUGUAAGACUGUGUCUGAAGUACUGUGUCCACUUUUGGGUAUGCAGUAUAAGACAGAUUUGGGCAUACUAGAGCAAAGCCAUUAAUACUUAGGGG